UAUCACUGCAGUUUCAGGCUUUUCCCAACUACACCUAUUAAUACAUAUUUUAACGUCCUAUUAAAGUUGUAGUUUGGAAAGUUUUGGUUUUGCAUU
ensembl:ncRNA mir-991 mir-991 stem loop